AAUGCAAGUCGAACGGAAGUACGUCAUAAUGAUUCUGAUAUGGAUAAUGAAGAUUAUCAGAUUGAAAUGAAGUUGAUUAUGACAAUGGCUUUAGUGGCGGACUGGUGAGUAACGCGUAAGCAAUCUGCCUAUUAGAGGGGAAUAACAGUGAGAAAUCAUUGCUAAUACCGCAUAUGCCAUAGUUAUCACAUGAUAGUAGUGGGAAAGGAGUAAUCCGCUAAUAGAUGAGCUUGCGUCUGAUUAGCUAGUUGGUGGGGUAACGGCCUACCAAGGCGACGAUCAGUAGCCGGACUGAGAGGUUGAACGGCCACAUUGGGACUGAGAUACGGCCCAGACUCCUACGGGAGGCAGCAGUCGGGAAUAUUGCGCAAUGGAGGAAACUCCUGACGCAGUGACGCCGCGUAUAGGAUGAAGGUUUUCGGAUUGUAAACUAUUGUCGUUAGGGAAGAUAACGAGACCAGUACCUAAGGACGGUAAGCUCCGGCUAACUACGUGCCAGCCGCCGC
rnacentral:rRNA from 1 species